GACGUAGGGCGCGAGCGUUGUCCGGAUUUAUUGGGCGUAAAGAGCUCGUAGGCGGCUUGUCGCGUCGAAUGUGAAAACCCGAGGCUCAACUUCGGGCUUGCAUUCGAUACGGGCAGGCUAGAGUUCGGUAGGGGAGACUGGAACUCCUGGUGUAGCGGUGAAAUGCGCAGAUAUCAGGAGGAACACCGGUGGCGAAGGCGGGUCUCUGGGCCGAUACUGACGCUGAGGAGCGAAAGCGUGGGGAGCACACAGG
rnacentral:rRNA from 1 species